rnacentral:rRNA from 1 species
CCUACGGGUGGCAGCAGUGGGGAAUAUUGCACAAUGGGGGAAACCCUGAUGCAGCGACGCCGCGUGAGUGAAGAAGUAUUUCGGUAUGUAAAGCUCUAUCAGCCGGGAAGAAAUAGCGACCUUUGGGUCGCCAGACGGUACCUGACUAAGAAGCCCCGGCCAACUACGUGCCAGCAGCCGCGGUCAUACGUAGGGGGCAAGCGUUAUCCGGAUUUACUGGGUGUAAAGGGAGCGUAGACGGCAGCACAAGGCUGAAGUGAAAGGCCGGGGCUUAACCCCGGAACUGCCUUGGAAACUGUGCAGCUAGAGUGCAGGAGAGGUAAGUGGAAUGCCUAGUGUAGCGGUGAAAUGCAUAGAUAUUAGGAGGAACACCAGUGGCGAAGGCGGCUUACUGGACUGUAACUGACGUUGAGGCUCGAAAGCGUGGGGAGCAAACAGGAUUAGAUACCCCUGUAGUC